rnacentral:misc_RNA from 1 species
CUUUUUUUUUUUUUUCCCUUUUUGAAGUAAAAUCAAAUACAGUAAGGUCCAUGUUCCAAUGAUUUAUAAUUUGGCUUCUGGGAACAUCUGCCAAACAUGAUGAGACAAAAUUACACAUCUAGCAGGAUUUCAAAUAAUAACAUAUUACAAGAUAAUUCUACAAACUUUUCCAGGUCAUUAGAGAAAAAUGUCAGCACAUCAUUAACGAUAAAUGAGAACAUAUCUCAUUUCGCUCCUUGACAAUCAGUGGCCUUUCUCAAAAUUAAAUCAGAAACAUGGAUACCUG